GGAAUGAACAACUCUGGCACGUACGACGUGGCUCACUGUGAUAGAACUUUCUUUCCAACAUGGCUCCUCCGGUGUUGAACAAGUCUCAAAGUAGAGUCCGUCAGUGAUGGCCAAAUAACGUCUCGGUCAGCGCCCCUAUCAGAUGAUCGUCAGUGAAGCUGGACGAAGUCUGCAGGUUCACGCGCCCAGAAGAGAACACUCACCUGUGCCUGACAUUUCUGGAGCACUUCCCAUGUGCCUCACAGUUUCCAGGGGCACGAAAAAUAUUAACUCAGGUAACACAGACAGCAACCUUGAGGUGGGUACCGUUACCAUGAUCGUUUCACCGAUGAGGAAGCGAAGGCACACAGAGUGUAAGUUUUCCCAAGGUCACCCAGCUAAUAAGUGGCGGUGCUAGGACGGGCGCUCAGGCAGAGGGACCCCAGAGCCC